rnacentral:tRNA from 1 species
GGAGGAAUGUCCGAGCGGUUUAAGGUGAGAGUUUGCUAAACUCUUGGAUCAAAAGUCCCGCAGGUUCGAAUCCUGCUUCCUCCG